rnacentral:misc_RNA from 1 species
CCGAGUUUUACAAACUCCCAAAACCCCUGUGAAACAUACCACUUUGUUUGCCCUCGGCGGAUCAGCCCGCCUCCCGGUAAAAAACGGGACGGCCCGCCAGAGGACCCCUAAAACUCUGUUUUUCUAUAUGUAAACUUCUGAGUAAAAACCAUAAAUAAAUCAA